rfam:Mesocricetus auratus contig083450, whole genome shotgun sequence.
CCAUACCACCCUGAAUGCACCCCAUCUAGUCUGAUCUUGGAAGCUAAGCAGAACUGGGCCUGGUUAAUGCUUGGAUGGCAGACUCUGCACUUUCACAAGCUCCUGGGGAUCUCUGGUGCUCAGGAAG